rnacentral:lncRNA from 1 species
GGCUCGUUGAACAUUUGGAUUGAUAUCUAGAAUUGUGCUUUCCAAUUUUUCUGCCAAUUGAAGAGCCAUGUAAAUAUUUUAUAUAGUGAAUAAAAUUGGUUCAUUAACAUUUUGCAUAUUUGAGCUGUCAUUGCAGAAAAAGGAAGUGCAAUGUGCUACUAUACUCUGUUUCACCAAAGUUUGCACCUCAUCAAAACAACUGCUUUAACACAAAAUGUAUCGUUGCACAUUAUUGGCUCUCCAGUUGGUGGAAAACUUUUAAGAAAAACAAUAGUAACCAUUCCUUUUUCUUAUGUGGCGGGAAGGUGUGUGUGUGUGUGUAUCAUCAAAACGAUUAUGGAGCUAUCUCAUUCAGCUGAAAUCAGCGGAUUUAAUCUUAAUUUAGA